GUUGAGCACUCCAGUGGCUCUGUAAAAAGGCCAACUCGCUGGAGGACGGAAGGGUGGCCUGAAGACUGAGGAGGGGCAGGUCAGGUGCCCAGUCCAGAGAGGAGGAGUUGAAGAUGACAAGCCGCACCCCACCUCCCCCCAACUCACUUGGGACUGGAUCCACCCUGAGGAGCCUCGGGUCAACAUCCUGUUUCCGGCAAGCCCUCCUGGAGGCCACACAGAGGGGUGUUUGUUCGUAGUGGGCGACGGGAGAGAUGCUAAUCACGUUGGAUAGCUGGUCCCAGCUGAAGGUCAGGAGGUAAGGCGACCCACAGUUAUAAAUAACCGAGCCAGGCUGCUGAGGGCAGCUUGCUGGAUCCGCGCCCCUCUCCGGCCGACCGACCCGGAUUGAUUUCUGACCUCCUGGCUGCCACGGGAACUUGAACCCCAGAGAGCUGAGCGCCAUGACCUUUGGGGGUGGCGCGCAAGGUCAGGCCAGGCCGCCUGGGCUUCCCUGACUCCUAAAUUCAGGCAGAUGCACCUUUGCCACUCUGCAGAGGCCUGAGUUGGAGGUGGUUGUGCAUGGGACUCAACCCCCACCAUCAACACAGGUACCUGUACCUCUGCAUCCCACCCACCAAGCCCUAGUCCUCAGCCUGCUCCAGCUGAAACUGGAAGACCCAGCCUUCAGAGCCUGGCCCGGCCUCCAGACACCUGAUCUGAUGUGGGGUUGAUUCCAGAGCCAUGUGUUCUCUGCUGGAUGGAAACAAGAGUCCCCCGUCUCACUUUGGAAGGCUUAGUGAAGAGAUUCUAGUGGCAACAAUCUGGCUGCUGUUUGUGUGCCUGGGAGGCAGGCACCUCUCCUUGUGUCCUAUGAACAGAAAAGGGAGGUAGGCCACGAGAGAGCACGGGAACAAAACAGAGACAUCCAGAGAGUCAGAUCUGAGAAACAGCACAGUGCCGUGGAUCCAUCAUUUACCUACCAAGAUAACUACCUUACUUACCAUAAACGUGAACGAUGCAGGCGGCUAGAGGGCUCGCUCGGUAGCUAAAAGUGAUUGCUACACAGGGGCAGCAAUCUGAAUUCAGUCCCCAGGAGCCAUGGAAAGCAGGAAGGAGAUGACCAGCUGCGUGGUUAGCUUCUGACUUCCCCACACGUGCUGUGACCCACACCCACACCAAUAAAUAUAUUUCUACUUUA
rnacentral:lncRNA from 1 species